GUUCGGCAAGAGCAGUUCUGUGAGCUGGCGGAGCCUGGCGUCUGCCUGCGUGACGUGGAGGAACCGCAGGCGGCGACCGCGGACAGAAUGUACAGGUUUCUGGGCGAGGAAUGGAGAAUGAGGCGGAGCUGGGCUGCAGGAGACGGAGGCAGAGAGAGACGGCCUGGCGGGAGAUGCAGGGGCCCGCGGCAGGGCCCUGGAAGCUCCAGGCGGGAGGAGGGACGUGGUGGCGGGCGGGAGGGCAAGGGCUGGGGCCCGGGCUCAUUCCGCAGAGCCUGCGGGUACAGCAGGCUGAGGGGUCAGACUGAGCACAGGGAGCUGAAUAGCGAGCCCCGCCCGGCAGGGGAAAUGAAGGGAGGGUGGUGUGAGAGCUUCUGCCAGGGGCAGAAGGACACCGAGGGACCGCAAGCAGAGCCGAGGGAGUGCGCGCUAGCCCCGGAAGAGGGUGCGCUGGGCUGGCUGCUGAGCUACCCUCAGGAGCUGCAGGGGCUCGAGGGGCUGGAAAUGCUGCGGCAGAAACUGGAAGGGCCCUGCCUAGGUUGGCUUAGGAGUAGAGGGGUGCACCCUGGUCAACCCUGCACCUCCGGGGCGCCACGCGCUCGCUGGCGGGAGGGCGGAGGGAGGCGGGAAGGAGACGCUAAGGCGCUGCGAUCCCGGACGCGCAGCCCUCUAGGCGUGGAGGCUGCUGGAGCCGCCAGGCAGCUUCUCGGCGACUCCACGCGUCAGUGCAGAGAUGCUGCAGGGACGCAGCGCUCACAAAAGCAGCUCCGCUCACAAAAAUACGGCCACACCGAGCAGACGUCUGCUUUGACACCACUCGACCCUGCCAAAAAGAGCAAUUAAUGGGAUCAGAAGGGCGGGAGGUGGGAGGGAAGGCGGGGAGUGGGCAAUGAGCAGAGCCUGGCUUUCUAUCCCAGGACAGCGUGGUGUUCUCAAGGGAAUUUAGACAAACAUUUCAUCCUAACCUCAACAACAGGUCCUCCUGAGUCCUCAUACAACCUAUCCUUAGGCGGUAACAGGCUGCAGCUGUUGAAGUCUAAUUUCACUCUAUUGAUUGGUACUUUCAAUGGAAUGCUUUCUGAUUAAUUCUGUGCCUUUAGUUUUACCCUGGACAUGUUUCAAGACAAUGUAUUAAUAAGACUCUGGUGUUACGUAUUCAAUCAAUUUAUAGAUGAAACCCAGAAAACUCAAAUAUGGUUAGAGGACUGGAUUAAAUGAUAUUUACUUUGGCAAUAGAGAAAUAAAAGUAUACUGAACUGAUGGAAAUAUUCUAAAACUAUAUUGCAGUGAUGGUUACACAACUCUACAGAUUUACUGACAAUGGGUGAAAUAUGUAGCAUGUUAAAAAUACCAGCUGUUAAAAAUGAAGAAAAAGUCUAUCAGUAAAAAAAUAAAUACGUGUCUAACUGGAAGAAGAUAAGAUACAGAGGCAGGGGGGAAAGAGGGUAGGGUAGGGGGGCUAAGAGCCUCAUUCACAUCGUGGUGUGGCAGUUAAUACAGUCUAAGUUUACAGAACAAGAAAUUCAAGUUCAAGCAUAUUGCUUAAAUCUAGUUAACCUAUAGGAAAACUAAGUAUAAUAAUAAGCACAGCAAAGUAGGAGGAAGAAGACAAGUAGCCUUAAUCAGCUAAACCUUCCUCUUUUAUAAUGGAAAGCCACUGCAAAAGAAAUCGAGGUUGAUAAAUACAGAAGCUCGAUAAGUGUAUUAUUACUUAAAAUUUUGAAUUUUGAAAGGAACUCCCCAAAAAUCUAAAAAUGCUUAUUGUUAAAAAAAAUUUUUUUUGAGAUAGGAUCUCUCUCUGUCACCCAGGCUGGAGUGGAAUGGUGUGAUCAUAGCACACUACAGCCUCUCUACCUCCUGGGCUCAAGCGAUCCUCACGUCUCAGCCUCCUGAGUAACUGUGACUACAGGUGGGUGCCAGCACACCCAGCUGAUUUUUUUAUAGAGAAGAGGUCGCGCUGUGUUGCCCAGGCUGGUCUCAAACUCCUGGCCUCAAGCAGUCCUCCCACUUCAGCUCCUAAAGUGUUGGGACCACAGGCAUGAGCCACCAUGCCAGCCUAAAUUUUGCCUUUAAAAAUUGUCCCAUGAAUUCCUGGAUUGGCAUAACAGUUGGUAUUGUCUUGAUAGAAGAGUUGUUGAAAUAAUCUAUCACCUUCACACUGCCCGGCAUGUGCACACACGUGCAUGUCUGCGCAUGUCCGUAUGUGUGCACAUGUCACAUGAAUGUGCAAGUGUGUGCAAAUGUGCAAGUGUUUGUGUGUGCUUGUCUGUGUCCAUGUGUAUGUGUGUAUGUAUGUUUUAAGAGACCUGUAAAAUCAAAAGAAAACUAGCCUCAAGGUAAAAUUACAAAAAAUCCCCACAUAUUUACAGUGAUCAGUGACAUAGUCUUUCUUUUCUUGAAUAAAUAUUACAAUUUGAUUAUCUGAGAUGCUUUUAUAUUUAGGAAAUGAGUUAAUACAGAUUAAAUUACAUUUCAAUAUUUUAAAUAUCUUCCUAAAUCUUCAUGACUUUUAUUACUGAAUCUGCUGCUAAAGGUCUUGGUACAAUUAAAUUUUAAAACUUUUUUGAAAGGAGGGGAGAAAAUUUUAUUUUUCUAAUUUUAUGCUUCAAAUUUAUAUUACGUACAUUAAGUGCUAUGUAAACUUGUCUUUAGGAUAUCAGUAUUUAACUUGGGCAAUAUUAUUUCAUCUUAAUUUAUUUGGAGAAAUACAACUUAGCUGUCUGCUUAUAAACAUCAAAAAAUGUGCCAAAUGAGAAAAUAGGGCAUUAACAAUCAGAAUUUAAAUUUUUUUUAAUUUCGAUGGUUUUGGGGGUAUAGGUGGUUUUGGUUAUGUGAAUAAGUUCUUUAGUGGUGGUUUCUGAGAUGUUGGUGCACCCGAGCAGUGUACACUGUACCCAAUAUGUAGUCUUUUAUCCCUCACCCCCCUCCCAACCUUCGCCACUGAGUCAAAAGUCCAUUAUAUCAUUCUGUGCCUUUGCAUCCACAUAGUUUAGCUCCUACUUAUUAGUGAAAACAUACAAUAUUUGGUUUUCCAUUCCUGAGUUACUUCACUUAGAACAAUGGCCUCAGGCUCCAUCCAAGUGGCUGCAAAAGACAUUAUUUCAUUCCUUUUUAGGGCUGAGUAGUAUUCUGUGGUGUGUAUGUACCACGUUUUCUUUAUCCAUUCAUUGGUUGAUGGGCACUUAGGUUGGUUCUUUGUCUUUGCGAUUGUGAAUUGUACUGCGUGUGUAGGUGUCUUUUUCAUAUAAUGACUUGUUUUCCUUUGGGUAGGUACCCGGUAGUGGGAUUGCCAAAUCAAAUGGUAGUUCUACAUUUAGUUCUUUAAGGAAUCUCCACACUGUUUUCCAUAGUGGUUGUACUAAUUUGCAUUCCCACCAGCAGUGUAAAAGUGUUCCCUUUUCACCACAUCCAUGCCAACAUUUGUUGUUUUUUGGCUUUUUAAUUAUGGCCAUUCUUUCAGGAGUAAGGUUUCAUCUCACUGUGGUUUUCAUUUGCUUUUCCCUGAUGAUCUGUGAUGUUAAGCAUUUUUUCAUGUUUGUUGGCCAUUUGUAUAUUUUCUUUCAAGAAAUGUUUAUUCAUGUCCUUUGCCCACUUUUGGAAGGGAUUAUUAUUAUUAUUAUUAUUUUCUUGCUGAUCUGAGUUCCUUGUAGAUUCUGGAUACUAGACCUUUGUUGGAUGCAGUUUGCAAGUAUUUUCUCCCACUCUGUGGGUUGUCUGUUUACUCUGCUGAUUAUUUCUUUUGCUAUGCAGAGCUUCUUAGUUUAAUUAGGUCCCAUUGAUCUUUGUUUUUGUUGAAUUUGCUUUUGGGGUCUUAGUCAUGAAUUCUUUGCCUGAGCCAAUGUCCACAAGAGUUUUUCUGAUGUUAUCUUCUAGAAUUUUUAUAGUUUCAGGUCUUAGAUUUAAGUUUGAUAUUGUUUAGAUCUGUGUCCGGAUCCGCACCAAAUCUCAUGUUGAAUUGUAAUCCCCAGUGUUGGAGGUGGAGCCUGAUGAAGGGUGACUGAGUCAUGUGGGUGGCAUUCUCAUGAAUGGGUUAGCACCAUCCUCUUGGUGCUGUUCUCAUGGUAAGAGUUCUCAGGAGAUCUGGUUGUUUAGAAGUGUGUGACACCUCCCCACCAUCUCACUCUCUCUUCUUUCUGCUCCAGCCAUGUAAGACAUGCCUGUGCCUGCUUCCCCUUUGCCUUCUGCCAUGACUGAAAGUUUCCUAAGGCCUCCUCAGAAGCCGAGCAGAUGCCAGCAUCAUGCUUCCUCUAAAGCCUGUGGAACCAUGAGCCAAGUAAACCUCUUCUCUUUAUAAAUUACCCAGUUUCAGGUAUUUCUUUAUAACAAUGUGAGAACAGACUAAUACAAAGUGUUUGGCCAUCUUGAAUUGAUUUUUGUAUAAGGUGAGAGAUGAGGAUCCAGUUUCAUUCUUCUACAUGUGGCUUGCCAGUUUUCCCAGCACCAUUUAUUGAAUAGAGUGUCCUUUCCUCAAUUUAUGUUUUUGUAUGUUUUGUCAAAUAUCAAUUGGCUGUAAGUAUUUGGCUUUAUUUCUGGGUUCUAUAUUCUGUUCCAUUGGUCUACAUGCCUAUUUUUCUUUUUUUUUUUAGACAGAGUCUCGCUCUGUCUCCCAGGCUGGAAUGCAAUGGUGCAAUCUCGGCUCACUGCAACCUCUGCCUCCUGGGUUCAAGCGAUUCUCCUGCCUCAGCCUCCCCAGUAGCUGGGAUUACAGGCACCUGCCACCACACCCGGCUAAUUUUUUGUAUUUUUGGUAGAGACGGUGUUUCACCAUGUUAGCCAGGAUGGUCUUGAUUUCCUGACCUUGUGAUCUGCCCACCUCGGCCUCCCAAAGUGCUGGGAUUACAGGCGUGAGCCACUGCGCCUGGCCUACAUGCCUAUUUUUAUACCAGAACCGUGCUGUUUUGGUAACUAUAACCUUGUAGUAUGAUUUGAAGUCAGGUAAUGUGGUGCCUCCAAAUUUGUUCUUCUCACUUAGUAUUGCUUUGACUAUGCAGGCUCUUUUUUCGUUCCAUAUGAAUUUUAGGAUUGUUUUUUCUAGAUGAUCAUGAUAUCUUUUUCUUUUUCUAGAAGAAUGAUGAUAAUAUUUUGGUGGGAAUUGAAUUGAAUCUGUAGAUUGCUUUGGACAGUAUGGUCAUUUUCACAAUAUUGAUUUUUCCCAUCCGUGAGCAGGAGAUGUGUUUCCAUUUGUUUGUGUCAUCUAUGAUUUCUUUCAGCAGUGUUUUGUAGUAUUCCUUGUAGAGAUCUUUCUCCUCCUUGGUUAAGUAUAUUCCUAAGUAUUUUAUUUUUGCAGCUGUUGUAAAAUGGAUUGAGUUCUUAAUCUGAUUUGAUUUUCAGCUUGGUCGUUGUUGGUAUAUAGCAGUACUACUGAUUUGUAUACAUGGGUUCUGUAUCCUGAGACUUUAUUGAAUUUGUUUUUUAGAUCUAGGGGCUUUUGGGAUGAGUCUUUAGGGUUUUCUAAGUAUACAUUCAUCAUUGGCAAAUAGCAAGAGUUUUACUUCCUCUUUUCCAAUUUGGAUGCCUUUCAUUUCUUUCUUUUCUCUGAUUGCUCUGGCCAGGAUUUACAGUACUAUGUUGAAUAGAAGUGGUGAGAGAGGGCAUUCUUGUCUUGUUCCAGUUCUCCAGAGGAAUGCUUUCGACUUUCCCCCAUUCAGUAUGAUGUUGCAUAUGGGUUUGUCAUAUAUGGCUUUUACUACUUUCAGGUAAGUCCCUUCUAUGCCUAUUUUGCUGCAGGUUUUUAUUAUAAAGGGAUGCUGGAUUUUAUCAAAUGCUUUUUCUACAUCUAUUGAGAUGACCAUACAGUUUUUAUUUUUAAUUCUGUUUAUAUGAUGUAUCACAUUUAUUGACUUGCAUAUGUUAAACCAUCCCUCU
rnacentral:lncRNA from 1 species